rnacentral:rRNA from 1 species
GACGUAGGGCGCGAGCGUUGUCCGGAUUUAUUGGGCGUAAAGAGCUCGUAGGCGGCUUGUCGCGUCGACCGUGAAAACUUGAGGCUCAACUCCAAGCCUGCGGUCGAUACGGGCAGGCUAGAGUUCGGUAGGGGAGACUGGAAUUCCUGGUGUAGCGGUGAAAUGCGCAGAUAUCAGGAGGAACACCGACGGCGUAGGCAGCGCCCUGGACGACACCUGACGCUGAGGCACGAAAGCUGGGGGAGCGAACAGG